rnacentral:rRNA from 1 species
AACGAACGCUGGCGGCGUGCCUAACACAUGCAAGUCGAACGAGAAAGCUCUUCGGAGUGAGUAGAGUGGCGCACGGGUGAGUAAUACAUAGGAACGUGCCUCUUGGAUGGGGAUAACCCCGGGAAACUGUGGCUAAUACCGAAUAAGCUCGAGAGAGGAAAGGUGGCCUCUAUUUAUAAGCUAUCGCCGAGAGAUUGGCCUAUGUCCCAUUAGCUAGUUGGCGGGGUAAAAGCCCACCAAGGCUACGAUGGGUAGCUGGUCUGAGAGGCCGAUCAGCCACACUGGAACUGAAACACGGUCCAGACUCCUACGGGAGGCAGCAGUGGGGAGUUUUGCACAAUGGGCGCAAGCCUGAUGCAGCAACGCCGCGUGAGUGAAGAAGGCCUUUGGGUUGUAAGCUCCUUCGGCUGAGAAGAAGGGUUGCAGCGUGAAUAAUACUGCAAUUUGACGGUAUCAGAAGAAGAAGCACCGGCUA